rnacentral:lncRNA from 1 species
CAAAAGGAUAUUAGGUAUUAGCUGACAUCAGAGAUGUUUCCUCUGGAAGGAAUAUGAGCAAAACCAACAUAAGCAUUGAUGUGGCAAAUUUUGGUGAAUUCUUGUGGUCAUUAAAUCGAUUUCUCCUUUGGAUUCAAAUUGUGAUGUCCCCUGCAUUUCCAUAAUAGGAAAUAAUUAGACUUUCUAAAAUCCAAGAAGCAUUCUAUUUUGGAUAUUUAUUUUUUCUAUUUAUUUUCCAGUUAUAUGAUUGAUUUGCUUAUGCCAAGAUUCUGUCCCUGUCAGUUAUUUAACAAGCUUUUUAUUUAGGAACUAUUUUAAGAUUAUUAUUUGAUAGCCAUAGCACGAAGCAGAGGGUGAUGAUGCCUAUAAUUAUAGAACUAUUCCUAUAAAAAUAACAAUUAUUGGGUAAUAAUACCAAGAGGAACAAAAUUAAAAACAGUCAAGAAAAUUAUUUUAAAAUAGUAUUCUACUUAUAAAUACUUGAUCUAAAAUAUUUUAUUCUCUGUUGAGUUUGACUUAACACCCCAAAGUCUAUGUAACCAUUACUCUUUCAUUAUUUCAGAAUUAUUUAUUCCAUAUAAUUCAUUUUAUAAUUUUAAAUGGAUCUGGAGCCAUGAAGUAUAAGACUGCUUUUGAAGAACUGCAUUAACACCCAACAACAUGUGUUACUUAUUGUCUCCCAAAUGCUUUAGUAAGCCAUAUUUUAUUUUGGAGAAUUAUUUACAAUGUACGUGCAGUUCUUUCUGAUACAGAAACCAUUUCUGAAGUGUUUACACUGGUUUGAUGUUUACAUUGUCCUAAUCAGUGCCUCACAUACCUCCACGACCAAAUUUGGCUAUAGCCACAUAGCUCGUUUCCUGUAAUACCAUGGUGUAGGAAGGGCUCACAGAGACAUAAGUGCAGCUAAAGUUAUUUUGAUGUCUUCAGCAAAGGGUAUAAGGAUAUUAUUCGAAUCUAAAGAUUAUUACCACCAUCUCUUGGUCACUUUUUGGGAAAUGGACAUUUCUUGAGACUCUAACUGUGAUUAGGUACAAGAUUACCUUUUAAUAAAAUAAAAUAAUCCUUUGGAAAAUGUAUCAGAGGGCAGUUGAGAGAACAUGUCUGUCUUGUGAUGAGGAUAAGAAGUCACAGAUUAGUAGAAAAAAUGCUGAAUACUGGAAUUUAACUUGUGGGUCUUGACAUAAGACUUUUAAAACUCUGGCCAGUGACCACUCUAGCCAAGUUUCUAUCAUUUCCAUAUUAUCAGCUAUCAUGCUACAAAUAAUUCAAAACCAGCAUUUUACUAAAGUAAAUAUUUUCCCUGUUGUUUUUAACCAGAUAGGACAUUCUGUGUAUCAGUGAGUGCUUUUGUUAUGUUUGUAGUACAAGUUAUUCUCUGCCAACCCAUUCAGAUAAGAAUUGGGCAAGGGUUUUUACCAGCCCUUUCUUGUCUCCUUUGUAAGAGAGAGAAGCUUUGACCAUAAAGAAGGACUGACUACAUUAAAAAACAUUUUAAUAACAGCUGAAAUAUUCUUUAAAGUGUAAAUUUUGUGCACUGGGAAUCAACAAAUUUGAUGAAGCUCAUACAGUUCUCACCAAUGGAGUGGGUGCAUUGGGUAGGAGAAACAAUAUGUGUAGAGAGAUAUAACUAGGUGUGGUAUAUAACCUGGAACUACAACUAUGAGGGAGAAUCCUCAACCAUAAAGAAUUUUAGAGUUUAAAACUCAAAUUGUAAAGAGAUCAUAUCGAAGUUUCUAGUUUCCUAACGUACUUAAUAAUUUUUUAAAAGGAAGAUCUGUGAGCUAUGUUAGCCAAAGCAAUAGAAAAGUUGUCCUUCACCUUCUACUCCCAAGCUUUAAAGCAUUAAAAGAUAUCUAAUGUUUGUGAAUAUUUUAGGGAAAGCUUUAUCAUUUUUAAAGAUACCAAGAUGCUAUCUAUAUUUAAAACUAUUGUCUAGGAAUUCGCCAAAAGCUAUAUUUUCUUCUUGAUCUUUGACCAAAAUGGUAUAAGCUUAUUUCUGGGAAGAGUGCUGAGCUCUUAAACAUGGAAAGUAGAUAAUAUGCUCUGAGUUGAGUGUUGUCUCAAUGUUGUAUAAAUCUACAGAGACACUUGCCUCAUAAAGUAGAACUGUUAGAUGAAUAGGAAUUUUAUGAACUUAUUGCCUUGGAGUUCUUGGGUAAAGACCCAACCAGGAUGACACUGUUGAGUGAGAACCAUAAAGAAAGAUUAGAGAUUCAAGUUGUCUAAAUAGAGUUUAUAACUAUGGGAGAAUAUGGAGAAGACCAUACUUAAAA